rnacentral:lncRNA from 12 species
AUGUAAGUUAACUAAUUAAUAUAUUAUUGUCAUAAUCUACAGUAAAAAUCAUCUGAUUUAACAUUCAUCUUUUCCAGGUCAAGCUAAUUCAGUGACAGCAGUGAUUCCAGUCCACAUCACAAACUCUCAGUAUCCCUCAACUACCACCACACAUGUAACUAAAGACACGAAGACAGAUCCAGCAGAAGCUGAAGUCUCUAGGACUGCUGGAUUAUUAUUCAGAGGUAUCACACAUCUUUACAUUGUUCAUGGUUUCAUAGCUUUGAUUUCAUUCCCAGUUUCACAGACUGAGUCUCUGUUUUCUCUUGAUUGUGUCUCUCAUCUGUCCUGCAGUGAUUGUGAUUACUGUAGAGUUUGCAGCGUUUGCUGCUCCUACUGUGAUUCUUCUUCAGAUCAUCUGUGCAAGAAGAGCUGGUGAGUUUUUGAGAUGAUUCACAUUUAUCUGGAACGAUCUGCACUCAUGAGAGCUCAGUAAAUGCUUUUGUGUUGAAUUAUCUUGCAGGGAGGAAGGACUCACAGCAUCCAGAGGAAAUAGAGAUUAAUACAAUAUUACAGUAAAAUACUCUACAAAUAACAGAAUACUGCAAGAUUUGUCUUCAUCUCGAUGAUAUGAUGAUAUUUAUACAGCUUACGUUCAUAUUUGCUCUAUAUACUGUACUGAAUGCUUUUUAAAUACAGAGAUCAACAGAAGUGCUUUUAAUAACCAUGAAUAAUUAUUACAGAAAUUCUAAUAGAAACACAUGGUAAUUUUCUAAUCUUGAUUCAUCUAAUCAUUGCAUUGAACUUUUUACAGAAAGCUUUUUAAAUGUUGUAAUAGUCCAUUUUAACUGAUGAUGCUACACGUCUGUUAAUUAUCAUACAACAUAUUUACAGAUGAAUUUUGAUUUAUUAUUAUUAUUAUUAUUAUUGUUAUUGUUAUCACUGAUCAUUUGAUGCAGAGACAAAUCCUUACGUAAAUAUCUGAAUGAUUGUCUUCCCCACCUACAUCAAGCUGCAACAUGUUUUUAUGUCAAGCAUCAUAUGCAG